rnacentral:snRNA from 1 species
AACAAGUUCUUCCUCUAUUGAAU